rnacentral:rRNA from 1 species
UACGUAGGGUGCAAGCGUUAAUCGGAAUUACUGGGCGUAAAGCGCGUGUAGGCGGCUUUGCAAGUCGGAUGUGAAAUCCCACGGCUCAACCGUGGAAGUGCAUCCGAAACUGCAUCGCUGGAGUCUCGGAGAGGAAGGUGGAAUGCUUGGUGUAGAGGUGAAAUUCGUAGAUAUCAAGCAGAACACCUGCGGCGAAGGCGGCCUUCUGGACGAUGACUGACGCUGAGACGCGAAAGCGUGGGGAGCAAACAGG